GGUGCAUAUGAUGGUUUUACGCGAUCAAAGUAUGAAAGAGCAUGAUUUCAGCUUUUUAAACUACUGAUGCACC
ensembl:snoRNA small nucleolar RNA Z17